rnacentral:Y_RNA from 4 species
GGCUGGUCUGAAGGUAGUAAGUUAUCUCGAUCGUUCAGUCACAGGUCUAACUGCUUAUUCUACUCUUUCCUCUCUUCUCACUACUGCAUUUGACUAAUCUUAA